CACGUAGGGGGCAAGCGUUGUCCGGAUUUAUUGGGCGUAAAGAGCUCGUAGGCGGCUCAGUAAGUCGGGUGUGAAACCUCCAGGCUCAACCUGGAGACGCCACCCGAUACUGCUGUGGCUAGAGUCCGGUAGGGGAGCGUGGAAUUCCUGGUGUAGCGGUGAAAUGCGCAGAUAUCAGGAAGAACACCCGUGGCGAAGGCGGUUCUCUGGGACGGUACUGACGCUGAGACGCGAAAGCGUGGGGAGCGAACAGG
rnacentral:rRNA from 1 species